AAGUCUUCAUUGAGGAAACCUCCAACCUAUCACAUAUGGCCCAAGAGGAGACUGGUGACUCCCUCAGUGAUAGAAAAACCUCUUGGAGGAGAGAACAUUGCUUUAAAGGAGGCUGAAAUCUCCUCCCCUCGUUCCCACCUGGAUCUGGAAACCAACGGAUUCCUAUGCGCUGCACGGCACAGCUGCGAGCCCUCCCAGGAGGGUGCGGGAGGCCCGAUCCCGGUGUCACCCACUGGCUCUGUGAUCUCUGCUAAGCUUCUUCAUUCUUCUGCUCUGUCACAUGCAAACCAAAUGCUCCCGGAGCCACCCUGGCUUCUCCAUCGCAGAGAGGCAGCAUCAGAGCUGGAAGCUGUUCUUGGACUGAGCGCUGCAGGUCCCUUCUUCCUGACAGUGUCUCAGAUUUCUGCAGGAAUGCCAUAGUUACCAGCACACGAGUAAGGACCAGACCAGGGUAACCAGCCAUCCAGCGUGUCCAGGCGUUUCCUGGUUGCACCACUGAGUGUUCUGAGCCCCGGAACCAUCCAAUCAAUCACCUUGCCUGCACUCCCCUUGGCUGUGAGAAGGGGAGCUGGUGGUGUGUCCUCCAUCCCUCAUAUCUUCUCCCCUCUAAUCGAGACUGAGGGUGGCUCCUCUGCCAGGGGUGACGGAAAGGUAGAAAAGACCCAUUUGAGUUUAACAGAAAGAGGGAAGAGGAACCUUCAAGAUGUCAAAAAGCCGGCCUCUCCUAGCUUCAAGUUUAACCAGGUUGGGAUUUCUGGCCUGGCCCAGACCACCGAGGUCCUCAGCUGGGGCCCGCUUUUGGUUCCUGUCUUGCUGAGUUUCCAAGUGGGGCCAGGUGCGGAGAUGCCCCCUUAAAUGCCUUCUCGCGGUCACAUACCUGAUUAACCUUUCUCCAGAUGCCCUGCUUUUGCAGCCAGGGCAACAGGCUGUGCGCCCACACAUGUUCUCCCCUAGCCAGCACCUUCACCUGCCACUGGGAUGCUAGGCCCAUGCACUCACAAACGGUACCCAGAGCUUAAGCAAAACACCUGCUUGGGCUAUGCAGGGAGGCACGCUCACACAGACACACACACAGACACAAGGAUA
rnacentral:lncRNA from 1 species